UUUAUAGAUGAGCAAACCAAAGCCUAGAGAGGUAAAGUAAUUCGAUCAAGGUCACACAGCUACUGAUAGUAAGCUAAGUAUCAAGAUUUCAAGUUGCAGAACAACUGAAUAUUGAAUACAAAAAGCAUAGAAUACUAAGCAAUUUAAUAAAAAUGUAUUAGAAAUAGAAAUAUAUGAAUCCCACAGAAAUAAGAAUUGCCCACUUUAAACGUGCAGCAAAACUGCAUGUUUCCAUGUUAAGUAUUCAGAAUUCUAAGAACUUACUUCCAUAUAUGUGGUUGAUUUAAUGAAUGUUGUGACAGAGUAAUUUCAAUAGAUGUCUAUACCUAAUUGGUUAGGUUCGCCUAAUGAAACAAAUGAAAGAAGAACAAGAGAAAGCCAGACUGACUGAGUCUAGAAGAAACAGAGAGAUUGCUCAGUUGAAAAAGGAUCAACGUAAAAGAGAUCAUCAACUUAGACUUCUGGAAGCCCAAAAAAGAAACCAAGAAGUGGUUCUACGUCGCAAAACUGAAGAGGUUACGGCUCUUCGUCGGCAAGUAAGACCCAUGUCAGAUAAAGUGGCUGGGAAAGUUACUCGGAAGCUGAG
rnacentral:lncRNA from 10 species